GGGGGUGCCUCCCACGCCUGCUGGGAGGAUGUGUUUAGUGUCAACUCUGCGGUCCAGACCCUGCCUGAUCACCCCGUUAAAGGCAGAGCAGUGGGCGCAGGUGCUAUGGCUUGAAGCAGGCCUGUCUGAAUUCUUAGCAGCGAUCUCCAAGGGCACCAUAACCUUGCAAGAAAGAGACUGCCGGGCCUGCAUCUCUUUCUGAUGCAGAAACCAGGGCCCGGAGAAGGUGAGUAAGCUGCUUAGAGCCACACAGCUGUGAGUAGCAGAUCCAAGCGCAACCUGUCUGUCCCAGGAGCUUGCAGGAUAGCUAGACCUUUGCUGCCUAGAAGGCCCUCUUGUGAGUCCCCUCCCUGGGCUCAGCAACCCAGGAGGGCAUGACUUCUGGCUGGGUCCUAGGGCUGGAGCCUCGGUGUCCUCUUGUCUUCUUUCCUUGUGCGACUUGGUUUUCCAGUCUGUGAAAUGGGGUGGGUGCGUCCAACUCCAAGCCUGUCUCUGCCCUGGGUCCUGGAGCCUGGAGGAGGAAUGAGGUCAUGUUUGUCUAGGGGCUAGAGCAUCUUG
rnacentral:lncRNA from 1 species